rnacentral:rRNA from 1 species
CCUACGGGAGGCUGCAGUGGGGAAUAUUGCGCAAUGGGCGAAAGCCUGACGCAGCGACGCCGCGUGUGGGAUGAAGGUCUUCGGAUUGUAAACCACUGUCGGGAGGGACGCGGUACCUCCAAAGGAAGCACCGGCUAACUCUGUGCCAGCAGCCGCGGUAAUACAGAGGGUGCGAGCGUUGUCCGGAAUCACUGGGCGUAAAGGGCGCGUAGGCGGCCUGGUAAGUAAGGGGUGAAAUCUUGCGGCUCAACUGCAAGGCUGCCUCUUAAACUGCUAGGCUGGAGCACGGUAGAGGCAGAUGGAAUUCCCGGUGUAGCGGUGGAAUGCGUAGAGAUCGGGAAGAACAUCGGUGGCGAAGGCGGUCUGCUGGCCUUGCUGACGCUGAGGCGCGACAGCGUGGGGAGCAAACAGGAUUAGAUACCCUUGUAGUC